UGGAUAUUGGCCGUUGCAACCGUAGGCCGGAAUAAUAGGCCUUAGCAUUGCCUAGUACUCCAGCGCCCCAGUAAGGAUUCCGAAUUCCUUGUUCUUAGUCCAGUCCCACCCGGUACGAGGUCAGCUAUCGGAUCUGGCUAAGCGCGUAGUGGUUUUAAGUGAUAGGAAGCUGGUCUCACUGAGACGCUGCUAACUCAAUGUCUAGAGUGCGAAGAGGAAGAGAUUCCAGUGUACGCGGUGGAAUGCGUUGAUUUGUGGAGAAAUCCCGAUUGGGAGAGGCAGCUUCGCGGUUUCUGUAUCGACUAUGAGGUGGGGAAAGCGGGGUAGCCACCGGGUAUUAGUCCCCUUGUAGUCCCCGCGGUAACGAUGACAACUAGCUAGUGGUAGACGAAGAUCUUUCAGUGGCAGCAGCUAACGCUAUAAGUUGUCCGUCUGGAGUAGUACGCCCGCAAAGUAAAUCUCAAAUGAAGUGACGGGGACCCGCACAAAGCGGGUAGCAGCAUGUGGUAUAUUUCGAUGCACGCGCGAAACACUCUUCACGUACUCGUCACAUUCUUAGAUGCUCAUGUAAUAGAGAGUGUGCUUCUAGAACCAAGAUACAGGUGCUGCAUGGCUGUCGUCAGCUCGUGUCGUGAGAUGUUGGGUUAAGUCCCAUAACGAGCGCAACCCUUAUCCUUAGUUGCCAGCAGUUCGGCCGGGAACUAUAAGGAGACUGCCGGUGACAAACCGGAGGAAGGUGAGGACGACGUCAAGUCAUCAUGGCCCUUACGAGCUAGGGCUACACACGUGCUACAAUGCGGAAUACAGACGGACGCAUAAAGCGUGAGGGGGGUGCCAAUCCUAAAAAAUUUGUCGUAGUCCGGAUCGCAGUCUGCAACUCGACUGCAUGAAGUCGGAAUCGCUAGUAAUCGCGAAUCAGCAUGUCGCGGUGAAUACGUUCUCGGGUCUUGUACACACCGCCCGUCACACCAUGGAAGUGGGUUGCUCCAGAAGUAGGUAGUCUAACCUUCGGGAAGGCGAUCACCACGGAGUGAUUCAUGACUGGGGUGAAGUCGUAACAAGGUAA
rnacentral:rRNA from 1 species